UACGUAGGGACCUAGCGUUGUCCGGAAUCAUUGGGCGUAAAGCGCGCGUAGGCGGCCCGGUAAGUCCGUUGUAAAAGUCGAAGGCUCAACCUUCGAAAGCCGAUGGAUACUGUCGGGCUCGAGUCCGGAAGAGGCGAGUGGAAUUCCUGGUGUAGCGGUGAAAUGCGCAGAUAUCAGGAGGAACACCAAUGGCGAAGGCAGCUCGCUGGGACGUGACUGACGCUGAGACGCGAAAGCGUGGGGAGCAAACAGG
rnacentral:rRNA from 1 species